UUAAGAGUUUAUAAUAAUUGUUGAUACCCAUUAUUGAGUGUAAAUCACCUCUUAAC
rnacentral:tRNA from 1 species